rnacentral:rRNA from 1 species
AUAUAACUAGGCGGAGGAAAAGAAACUAACCAGGAUUCCCUCAGUAACUGCGAGUGAAGCGGGAAAAGCUCAGACUGAAAAUCUUCGGAAUUGUAGUCUGGAGAAGCAUGGUCAGCCGAUGAUGAUGGGUAAAGUCUUCUGGAAAGGAGCGCCUUGGAGGGUGAUAGCCCCGUUCAUACCUAUCAUUAGAAGCGUACGACCAGCUUUCUACGAGUCGUGUUGUUUGGGACUGCAGCACUAAGCGGGUGGUAAAUUCCAUCUAAAGCUAAAUAUUGGUGGGAGACCGAUAGCGCACAAGUA